UACGAAGGAUGCGAGCGUUAUCCGGAUUUAUUGGGUUUAAAGGGUGCGUAGGCGGUCCGUUAAGUCAGCGGUAAAAUUGCGGGGCUCAACCCCGUCGAGCCGUUGAAACUGGCAGACUUGAGUUGGCGAGAAGUACGCGGAAUGCGCGGUGUAGCGGUGAAAUGCAUAGAUAUCGCGCAGAACUCCGAUUGCGAAGGCAGCGUACCGGCGCCAGACUGACGCUGAGGCACGAAAGCGUGGGGAUCGAACAGG
rnacentral:rRNA from 1 species